rnacentral:rRNA from 1 species
AUGGUCAUUGGUGGUACUGGUGGAAGCCGAGGCGGCGUUGCUGCUCUUUCGAAGAGGGGCAUGGAGGGUGUUGGUGAUGGCGUUGAUGUCGCGCUUAAGAGGGCGAGGGUUGAUCCUAUUGCAGCCAGGAGGAGGCAUUAUAAGAAGACUGCGGGUAGGAAAAAGUGUCCACCCAAAGCCACAACGAUCAACAUAAAGUCCAGGCCCGCAUCAUCGAUGGAAGUUGCAGCUGCAUCCCCUGUGCCAAAAUCUAAUAUGGGUACCGUCAAUACAGCUAUUGCAAGCAGUUCAGCUACGUCAAUCAGUUUCCUAUCCUCGCUGGCAGAUAUGCUUUCUACAAAUGAAGACAUCCAAGACGCUCCUAGGGAUGAUCUCAUAACACCUAGGACCGAAGAGGUUGUUCCAGCACUAUUCACUUUGAUAACCGGUGUUAGUGGUGUGUUAGACGGAGGCAUUGUCGGAGGUAAGGUCCAACCGAAAGCUGAUAUUAUGGAGAAACAUUCUGCCCAAACUGAUCCUACUGUUGCUGCUGCCCCGGAGUGUGCGUCUUCUUGUCCUGUUCAAUCCCAUGCACACACAGUCGAUUUGCCUGCGACAAAAGGCGAUGUUAGUUCUGAAGCACUUGUUAGAGAUUCCACAAAUAUCUCAGACAUAGUUGUGGUGGAUUCGAUGGUGCGGACGAUUGCCCCUGCUACAACCGAUACUGAUGUGCUCCGUAAGUUGAGUCCCCCGAAGAAGGUUCCGGCAUGGUCAGUUAAGAAGGGUGAUGGAUCGAUGUUCAUUCGUGUGCCUUCUCUGUUUCCAGCAACUGCUUCAAGCAAUACAGUUGAGCCAGUUCAAAGUAAGGAGAUUAGAGACGUUGUGGGGCAGCAUUAUGUCGCGCCCCGUGCAAGCAAGCUACCCAAGCCAAGGACCAUGACGCCGAACAUGAUUGGGGUGUCUUGUGUAGCUUCUAGGGAGCAACUUGCGAGGAGCAAAUUUGUGGAUGAAGUUAUCGAAGUUCCUGACAGCACCCCACCUGCACUUGUCAAGGUGGCCACGUUAGAUUUGACCAAAUCAUACUUUCAGAAGCAAGGGACACCGAGGGAGAGGCGCCCUAUGGAAUUCACCCCACCAUCAUGCAGCCUUGGCAUAGAAAAGGCAAUUGAUGCAACGCGAGUCUCCUUUUCGCACCCUGUGCUCGAAGAACCAAUGCUUGCACAACCAAUUCUUCAAGUGUCGAAAGUUGUCAAGUUCGCCGAGCCUAUAGUGCAAGGAGAUUGUAUAGGCACGGCUGUUGAUAUAUUGCCUUCCUUGGAUGAAGCUUACGCAAAGAUGGAGCAAGAUGCUCCAAAACAUCAGUCCAUUGGGAAACAAGUUGAUUCAAGUUCGGAUCUUUCUACCCAGUCAAGUGCAGACGUUGUCAGAAGUGCUACUAGAGGGUUUGUUCGACAGGCAAGGGUUGUGCAUCGGCCAGAAUCGGCUGACUGUGAGCCUACAAUUAAGGCUACAAAGGAACAACAUCAUUUGUACGAGCUUUUGAAGUGGUAUGCGGAUGCUAGAUCAAACAACAGAGCUACGAAGAAGAUCAGAGAAAUGAGGAUCAUAAAGUCCAGGGGCAAUCAUGUUCUUCUUGGUGAACUGGUUGAUGCCUUGAAGCCUACAGGGAAAAUGAUUGUGCCGCUCACCUUCACUGCCAUUGAGUAUCUAAACAAUCAUGGUGGCCUCCCAAAAGGCAAGGUUAUUAUGUCCCACGGUGUUACCAGGAAAAUCAUGGCAGGUGACUUUCAAAAUAGGGAAAUCAAGAACUGUUUUGCACAUAAGGGUGAAUUCAAUCUAUCACUCAAGGAGUUGAUCAUGUUCCCUCUCUUCCAGGAACUUGCUCCAGAUAACCCAAUUGAUAAAGCUGGCCACUUCUACACUAUUUGCAUCAACAAUGAGAAGCAAAGGAUCGAGGUUCUUGACUCUAUGCGUUUAGAAUCGAGUGGGAGCUUAUAA